AACUUAACGAAUCGCAUGGCUUGCCGUCCGGGAUGGUUCAUUCAAAUUUCUCGCCCUAUCAACUUUCGAUGGUAGGAUAGUGGCCUACCAUGGUAUCAACGGGUAACGGGGAAUUAGGGUUCUAUUCCGGAGAGGGAGCCUGAGAAACGGCUACCACAUCCAAGGAAGGCAGCAGGCGCGCAAAUUACCCAAUCCCGACACGGGGAGGUAGUGACAAUAAAUACUGAUACAGGGCUCUUUUGGGUCUUGUAAUUGGAAUGAGUACAAUUUAAAUCCCUUAACGAGGAACAAUUGGAGGGCAAGUCUGGUGCCAGCAGCCGCGGUAAUUCCAGCUCCAAUAGCGUAUAUCUAAAGUUGUCUGCAGUUAAAAAGCUCGUAGUUCGAACUUCAGUGCCUGGCUCGGGUGGUCUGCUUAACGGCAUGUCACUGUCCGGCUGGGUCUUACCUCUUGGUUGAGCCGGUGUGCCCUUUAUUGGUGUGCAUUGGGGGAACCAGGACUUUACCUUGAGAAAAUUAGAGUGUUCAAAGCAGGCUUAUGCCCGAAUACAUUAGCAUGGGAAU
rnacentral:rRNA from 1 species